GGCGAGUGAAGCGGCAAAAGCUCAAAUUUGAAAUCUCCGUAAGGCGAGUUGUAAUUUGAAGAAGCAACUUUGGGGUGGAGCCUUGUCUAUGUUCCUUGGAACAGGACGUCACAGAGGGUGAGAAUCCCGUGCGAUGAGGACUCCCAUUCCGUGUAAAGUGCUUUCGACGAGUCGAGUUGUUUGGGAAUGCAGCUCUAAGUGGGUGGUAAAUUCCAUCUAAAGCUAAAUAUUGGCGAGAGACCGAUAGCGAACAAGUACAGUGAUGGAAAGAUGAAAAGCACUUUGAAAAGAGAGUGAAAAAGUACGUGAAAUUGUUGAAAGGGAAGGGCUUGAGAUCAGACUUGGUGACUCGUCACUGGGCCAGCAUCGGUUUGGGUGGUAGGACAAUACCGCAGGAAUGUAGCUCAUUUUCGAGUGUUAUAGCCUGGGGAGAUACUACCCACCUGGACCGAGGACUGCGGCAACUAGGAUGCUGG
rnacentral:rRNA from 1 species